CGAAUGCUGACAUAAGUAACGAUAAAGCGGGUGAAAAGCCCGCUCGCCGGAAGACCAAGGGUUCCUGUCCAACGUUAAUCGGGGCAGGGUGAGUCGACCCCUAAGGCGAGGCCGAAAGGCGUAGUCGAUGGGAAACGGGUUAAUAUUCCCGUACUUGGUGUUACUGCGAAGGGGGGACGGAGAAGGCUAUGUUGGCCGGGCGACGGUU
rnacentral:rRNA from 1 species